rfam:Oryza meridionalis cultivar OR44 (W2112) chromosome 7, whole genome shotgun sequence.
CUGGAAUGAUGAAAGUUAGCCAAAGCAUAUUGUGGUGUGCUCCUCUAGACAUCAUAUAUAUUGGUUGCCUUGGUGGAAAUUUCCUUUUUGGCCAAGCACAAGAUGAGAUGACUAGAGUUGAAGCUUGCAUCAAUGGUGAUAAAAUUUGAGAUUGGUAACUUGCUGACCAGA